ACGGAAUACUAUUCAGUCUUUUAAAAUGGAGGACAUCCUGUUGCUUGUGACCCAGAUGAGCCCAAAGGACAUUAUGCUAAUUGAAAUAAGACAGACACCGAAAGACAAAUACUGCAUGAUCUCACUUACAUGUGGAAUCUUAAAAAGUUGAACUCAUAGACGUAGAGAGUAGAAUAGGGGUUACCAGGGCUUUCAGGCUUGUUGGGGGGCAGUUGGGAAGAUGGUCAAAGAACAUAAAAUUUCAGUUAGACAACAGGAAUGCAUGUUCAAGAGAUCUAUUGUACAACAUUGCAACUAUAAUUAAUAACAUAUAUUUUUGAAAAUCGCUGAGAGAUUUUAAGUCACCCCCAAAAAUGAUAACUUUGUGAGCACGUGUAUAUGUAAUUAGCUUUAUUUAACCAUUCCACAAUGUAUACAUAUUCCAAAACAUGUUGUCCAUGACAAAUAUACAUAAUAAAAUAAAAAAAAUCCUGACACGGAGCUGGCAUUUCUGAAAUGCUAAUUCCUGGUAAUGCCAUUUCUCAAAUCAAGACUCUACCUGCAUCUACAUACCACAGUCUUCCAUCUUUACUCUGUUUUAGUUCAUGAGAGCUAGAGUUACCCUCAAGAUUUUCUAGUUUGUUGGUUUCCAAACUGGGAUUCCCCCGCUCUCAGGGCCUGGGAAAGUUGUAACUAGGGUCUGUGGGUUGGUUUCAACAUGCUGAAAUCCUAACAAAAGCCAUUCAUGGGUGGGAGACCAGGUUAAGAAAGGAUCAAGUGUCUUUGCCUUUCUCUGUGAUAUGGACUCAUUGUGGUAACUCUGGUUGCAUCAUGAUCAUCAGAAGGCCUGCCUGACAUUUAUACGUCUGAUUCCUCAAGACAGAAAGCUUAUUAAGCUCCUAUUUUAGAGAUGCAUUUUGGUGGGCAACAUCUUUCAAAAACAUGGAAUUUAUGGGAAAAAGUAGAAAGAAGUUAACGAAUCUAGGGCGUUGGGAUCCACAAAGUUUAGGUAACCUCCCAAGGUGCCACAGCAGGUUGGUAGCAGUGCCAGGACCAGAACUGGUUUCUCCUGAUGCCUCGUAGCCUGCGUGUUCCACUGCUUGCCAUGCCAUCCAGACCACCUUCUUUUCCACCCGGGUCCUUCAUGUCUAUCAAAUAUCACCUUGGAAACAGGCUUUUAGUCAGGAUAUUGUAGCGUCAAGGGCAACUGAAGUCUCCUCUACACUAGGACCCCACGAAUCUUGGUAAGGGAGAAGGUAUUUCCGACCAUUUAUUAUGAUUUGUAAGUUCAGCCAGAAAUUUUUCUUCUACUUCCUUUCUCAAUUAGGGAAAUGUGUGCUUUAGAAGAUUUUAAAUGCUUGGUUACUUAAGAGAGAAAGAAAACUCUGUUGCUUGUUCAUAUUAUUUGUGUUUUUUUUCCAUGCAAAGACAGGAGGUUUUCAGCCAAGGCAAAUCAGAGUGGCUGACAUUCCCACGGGAAAGUGAGCCGGGCAUGAGAACAGGAUGUGUACCUGUCUGGAAGCCGGAGCCUUUGAUGUACAUCCACAAGGGCCCCGGAAGGAAGCUGUUUUGAUAAGCUGUGGCCACCAGGUGGCGAUACACACACGCUGUCAAGCCCAACAGUUUUUCAGACCUGCUGGAUUUUUCCAGAUUACUGAAGCAGGAAAAAAACAAGAAAAACAAAACGGGUCCAGUACUUCAGCUCUGAAUAGUUGAGUUGAAAAGAGGUGGAGAACCCCCCAGACAGCUUGCUCUCUUCAGUCGUGUGGCAGAGAAUCCACUUGGUGCUCUUCGGAUUCUUUGAGCCAAAGGCCACUGCCUGGUGGUGACGACCAACGUGGAGGCACCCAAACCAGCUCCCACGGCAUCUCUUCUGACAAUCAGUGACUCCGGCAGAUUCUAGCAGCACCUACACAGCCAGAGCCACACCCAGGCACUUGCUUUGCUGCAGUUUGGGAGGGAUCAGUGUUCCAGAGCAGCGGCUCACCAACCUUAGCAUGCCUCAGUUGCUGGGCUCCCAGAGUUUUUGGAUAAGGAAACCGUAGUCCGAAGAGAUUCAAUGAGUGUUCGAGGCAAUUAGCGGCAGUGGUGGGAAUGGAAUCCACGGCUCCAGGGAAGGGAGUGGAGGCAGGACACUGUGAGCCUCUCAGGCCAGAGUUUCCUGUUUGCCUUUAUGGUUGAGCCAGCCUAUGCCCCAAUCACUGUGGACGGAAGGGACCCUCCAGGAGGCCUCUGCAAGACUCUUGUUGGAGAUGCCUUACUACGAACUCACGAGCAAGUCUGAGAAGCUGCCUUCACUCCUCACCUUGCCUUCCCCAUUUUUGCAUUUUUCAGUUUAUAUCACCAGACUGAGUAUUGGUUCCACCACCAGGCAAUGAAAUAGCCUCCUCCCUGAUUCCCAUCUAUCUUCUCAGUACACGCUGAUCUGUGGUAGACAGAGUCUAUAUUAAGGGCGCUAAAUGUGAGGGCAGGCUUCAGGAAGGCUGGCUUCGAAGCGGGCCAAGAGUUCCUUGUUAGGCAGCCAAACCACAGGCGACAAUGUUUGAAGUUGUACCAAGUGUCUGGUCAAAGCAGAGAUGGUAAAAUUAAAAAAAA